UAAAUUGACAAGCAGAAUUGCCCCAGGACAGUGGAAGCUUAUCAAAAACAAGAAUGUUCCACAACAGGUGAGCGGAUCUGUUGACUGUGGAGUCUUCAUGUUGAUGUAUGCUUUGUAAACGGUCUUUGAGGCACCUUUUGACUUCAG